rnacentral:rRNA from 1 species
AGCGAACGCUGGCGGCAGGCCUAACACAUGCAAGUCGAACGAACUCUUCGGAGUUAGUGGCGGACGGGUGAGUAACACGUGGGAACGUGCCUUUUGGUUCGGAAUAACUCAGGGAAACUUGUGCUAAUACCGAAUGUGCCCUUCGGGGGAAAGAUUUAUCGCCAUUAGAGCGGCCCGCGUCUGAUUAGCUAGUUGGUGAGGUAACGGCUCACCAAGGCGACGAUCAGUAGCUGGUCUGAGAGGAUGACCAGCCACACUGGGACUGAGACACGGCCCAGACUCCUACGGGAGGCAGCAGUGGGGAAUCUUGCGCAAUGGGCGAAAGCCUGACGCAGCCAUGCCGCGUGAAUGAUGAAGGUCCUAGGAUUGUAAAAUUCUUUCACCCGGGACGAUAAUGACGGUACCCGGAGAAGAAGCCCCGGCUAACUUCGUG